rnacentral:sRNA from 1 species
AGUUAGAGACGGAGCCUAGCUGAGCUCGGGGCGGGCCUGGACCCCGGGGAUCUUCAACUUGAUGAAGUUCGACAGCUAUGCGCGCUUCGUCAAGUCCCCGCUGUACCGCGAGUGCCUGCUAGCCGAAGCCGAGGGACGCCCUCUGCGGGAACCUGGCUCCUCGCGCCUCGGCAGCCCUGACGCCACGAGGAAGAAGCCGAAGCUGAAGCCCGGGAAGUCGCUGCCGCUGGGUGUGGAGGAGUUGGGGCAGCUGCCACCCGUUGAGGGUCCCGGGGGCCGCCCUCUCCGCAAGUCCUUCCGCCGGGAGCUGGGCGGGACUGCAAACGCCGCCUUGCGCCGAGAGUCUCAGGGCUCCCUCAACUCCUCCGCCAGCCUGGACCUUGGCUUCCUAGCCUUCGUCAGCAGCAAAUCUGAGAGCCACCGGAAGAGCCUUGGGAGCACGGAGGGUGAAAGUGAAAGCCGGCCAGGGAAGUACUGCUGUGUGUACCUGCCCGACGGCACAGCCUCCUUGGCCCUGGCCAGACCUGGCCUCACCAUCCGAGACAUGCUGGCAGGGAUCUGUGAGAAACGAGGCCUCUCUCUACCUG